UAACCAUGACACUCACAUGUUCACAUCCCGACACUCACAUGUUCACAACCCAGGUAACCAUGACACUCACAUGUUCACAUCACAGGUAAGCAUGACCACUCACAUGUUCACAGCCAGUGUAAGCAUGACACUCACAUGUUCACAUCCCAGUAACCAUGACACUCACAUGUU